GGGCAAAGUUAGAAUGGUUCCAAUCCAUUAAAAGGAGUUUUAAUGAUAUUGUGAUAGGGAUCACAAUAUAUCUCACUAGCAGAUAGGAUAGAACCUAUGGGGUCACACACAAAGAGACUUUUGACUGAUCAAAUGGUUGAAUUAUGAUUAUUAAUCAUAAUAAAAUUUAAUUAUCAAUUUGAUUAAUGAUUAAUCCAAUGCAAAAGUUACAAUUAAGUAACUUACUAAA
rnacentral:lncRNA from 1 species